AUUGAACGCUGGCGGCAGGCCUAACACAUGCAAGUCGAGCGGAUGAAGGGAGCUUGCUCCUGGAUUCAGCGGCGGACGGGUGAGUAAUGCCUAGGAAUCUGCCUGGUAGUGGGGGAUAACGUCCGGAAACGGGCGCUAAUACCGCAUACGUCCUGAGGGAGAAAGUGGGGGAUCUUCGGACCUCACGCUAUCAGAUGAGCCUAGGUCGGAUUAGCUAGUUGGUGGGGUAAAGGCCUACCAAGGCGACGAUCCGUAACUGGUCUGAGAGGAUGAUCAGUCACACUGGAACUGAGACACGGUCCAGACUCCUACGAGAGGCAGCAGUGGAGAAUAUUGGACAAUGGGCGAAAGCCUGAUCCAGCCAUGCCGCGUGUGUGAAGAAGGUCUUCGGAUUGUAAAGCACUUUAAGUUGGGAGGAAGGGCAGUAAGUUAAUACCUUGCUGUUUUGACGUUACCAACAGAAUAAGCACCGGCUAACUUCGUG
rnacentral:rRNA from 1 species